rnacentral:rRNA from 1 species
UACGUAGGGGGCAAGCGUUGUCCGGAUUUAUUGGGCGUAAAGAGCGUGUAGGCGGUUUGGUAGGUCCGUUGUGAAAUCCCGAGGCUCAACCUCGGGUCUGCAGUCGAUACGGGCAGACUAGAGUGCUGUAGGGGAGACUGGAAUUCCUGGUGUAGCGGUGAAAUGCGCAGAUAUCAGGAGGAACACCGGUGGCGAAGGCGGGUCUCUGGGCAGUAACUGACGCUGAGGAGCGAAAGCGUGGGGAGCAAACAGG